AACGAACGCUGGCGGCAUGCCUAACACAUGCAAGUCGAACGAGACCUUCGGGUCUAGUGGCGCACGGGUGCGUAACGCGUGGGAACCUGCCCUUAGGUUCGGAAUAACUCCCCGAAAGGGGUGCUAAUACCGGAUAAUGUCUUCGGACCAAAGAUUUAUCGCCUUUGGAUGGGCCCGCGUUGGAUUAGCUAGUUGGUAGGGUAAAAGCCUACCAAGGCGACGAUCCAUAGCUGGUCUGAGAGGAUGAUCAGCCACACUGGGACUGAGACACGGCCCAGACUCCUACGGGAGGCAGCAGUGGGGAAUAUUGGACAAUGGGCGAAAGCCUGAUCCAGCAAUGCCGCGUGAGUGAUGAAGGCCUUAGGGUUGUAAAGCUCUUUUACCCGGGAUGAUAAUGACAGUACCGGGAGAAUAAGCGCCGGCGAACUCCGU
rnacentral:rRNA from 1 species